ensembl:lncRNA MIR646HG MIR646 host gene
AAUGAGGUGGGGAGGUUGGAAACAAAAGGCCUUCUCCACCCCAGCUUGACCAACCCAAAAGCUGGAAGGCAAGGAAGACCUAGAUCGACAGAAAAGAAAUGAGUCAACGAUGGUGCAGAAAGGGACCAGCUUGACGAAGCUUCUGCUUUUGUGACUGUCUCCUAAUGAAACCAGAGCACCUCAGAAGAUCAAGGCUUCCAAAUUCUCCUGGGGGAACAGACGUCAGCCAUUCAGCACAAAGGAAACUUCCUUCUCUGUAUGUCAGAGGAAGACAUAAUUGUGCCAUUUCCUUCUUGAAGAAGUUUACAAACAUUUGCAAGUUGUCAAAAAUAAUUAGUCUAAAAUUGUUUCAUAAACCGUGGAAUGAAACAGGACGUGCCUUGUUGAGAUCAAAGGGCUUCUGUUACCUUCUUGUAAACUCAAAUGAAAUUCUUUUGAAAGUAAA